AGAGUUUGAUCCUGGCUCAGGAUGAACGCUGGCGGCGCGCUUAACACAUGCAAGUCGAACGGUUAAUGCACCCCUCGGGGUGCGCAUAAAGUGGCGAACGGCUGAGUAACACGUGGGCAACCUGCCCCCCGCACCGGGAUAGCCUCGGGAAACCGAGGGUAAUACCGGAUACUCCGCCCCCCCUCGCAUGGGAGGGGCGGGAAAGCACAUACGGCGGGGGAUGGGCCCGCGGCCUGUUAGCUCGUUGGCGGGGUAACGGCCCACCAAGGCGAUUAUGGGUAGCCGGGUUGAGAGACCGACCGGCCAGAUUGGGACUGAGACACGGCCCAGACUCCUACGGGAGGCAGCAGUGGGGAAUCUUGCACAAUGGGCGAAAGCCUGAUGCAGCGACGCCGCGUGCGGGAAGAAGGCCCUCGGGUUGUAAACCGCUUUCAGCAGGGACGAGGCGCAAGUGACGGUACCUGCAGAAGAAGCCCCGGCUAACUACGUGCCAGCAGCCGCGGUAAUACGUAGGGGGCGAGCGUUAUCCGGAUUCAUUGGGCGUAAAGCGCGCGUAGGCGGCCCGUUAGGUCGGGAGUCAAAUCCGGGGGCUCAACCCCCGUCCGCUCCCGAUACCGGCGGGCUUGAGUCUGGUAGGGGAAGGUGGAACUCCAAGUGUAGCGGUGGAAUGCGCAGAUAUUUGGAAGAACACCGGUGGCGAAGGCGGCCUUCUGGGCCAUGACUGACGCUGAGGCGCGAAAGCUAGGGGAGCGAACAGGAUUAGAUACCCUGGUAGUCCUAGCCGUAAACGAUGGGCACUAGGUGUGGGGGGACGAUCCCUCCGUGCCGCAGCUAACGCAUUAAGUGCCCCGCCUGGGGAGUACGGGCCGCAAGGCUAAAACUCAAAGGAAUUGACGGGGGCCCGC
rnacentral:rRNA from 1 species